rnacentral:snRNA from 1 species
UGACUCUGUUUUCUCUUCAGUUACGCACAAGCAUUUCGCCUUUUACUAAGACUUCCGUGAGAGGAACACUUACGAGUUCAACGUAGUUUUUUGGAGCGCUGUUGCUUCUUCUUGCAGAGCC